AUACGUAUGGGGCGAGCGUUAUCCGGAAUUACUGGGCGUAAAGAGCUCGUAGGUGGUUUGUCGCGUCGUCUGUGAAAUUCCGGGGCUUAACUCCGGGCGUGCAGGCGAUACGGGCAUAACUUGAGUACUGUAGGGGAGACUGGAAUUCCUGGUGUAGCGGUGAAAUGCGCAGAUAUCAGGAGGAACACCGGUGGCGAAGGCGGGUCUCUGGGCAGUAACUGACGCUGAGGAGCGAAAGCAUGGGUAGCGAACAGGAUUAGAUACCCUGGUAGUCCAUGCCGUAAACGGUGGGCGCUAGGUGUAGGGGUCUUCCACGACUUCUGUGCCGUAGCUAACGCAUUAAGCGCCCCGCCUGGGGAGUACGGCCGCAAGGCUAAAACUCAAAUGAAUUGACGGGG
rnacentral:rRNA from 1 species